AUCUUCCACAAUGGACGCAAGUCUGAUGGAGCAACGCCGCGUGAGUGAAGAAGGGUUUCGGCUCGUAAAGCUCUGUUGUUAAAGAAGAACGUGGGUGAGAGUAACUGUUCACCCAGUGACGGUAUUUAACCAGAAAGCCACGGCUAACUACGUUCCAGCAGCCGCGGUAAUACGUAGGUGGCAAGCGUUAUCCGGAUUUAUUGGGCGUAAAGCGAGCGCAGGCGGUCUUUUAAGUCUAAUGUGAAAGCCUUCGGCUCAACCGAAGAAGUGCAUUGGAAACUGGGAGACUUGAGUGCAGAAGAGGACAGUGGAACUCCAUGUGUAGCGGUGAAAUGCGUAGAUAUAUGGAAGAACACCAGUGGCGAAGGCGGCUGUCUGGUCUGUAACUGACGCUGAGGCUCGAAAGCAUGGGUAGCGAACAGG
rnacentral:rRNA from 1 species